rnacentral:rRNA from 1 species
AGUCGAACGAGCGAGAGAGAGCUUGCUUUCUCGAGCGAGUGGCGAACGGGUGAGUAACGCGUGAGGAACCUGCCUCAAAGAGGGGGACAACAGUUGGAAACGACUGCUAAUACCGCAUAAGCCCACGGGUCGGCAUCGACCAGAGGGAAAAGGAGCAAUCCGCUUUGAGAUGGCCUCGCGUCCGAUUAGCUAGUUGGUGAGGUAAUGGCCCACCAAGGCGACGAUCGGUAGCCGGACUGAGAGGUUGAACGGCCACAUUGGGACUGAGACACGGCCCAGACUCCUACGGGAGGCAG